GGAAAAGCAAGAUGUUCAAGCUUGGAAACGGUGUUCUAAGUUGUGAAGGACUCCAGAAGGCUUGGGGCUCAGUAUGAAGAGGACGGGUGAGUCAUUUUAUACAUAGCUCAGUAAAUGGAGGGUCCAUGAAAGAGGUGGGUAUACUUACGAAAAGUGUGGGUUGCAAUUUCCUGGCUGAUGGUAGCAAUUUGAUGGUUCAUACAAAAGGCAGCGAAUGAAUGUUAAUAUGUAUGUAUGCAAAAUAGUUAAGGAAAGGGUUAAUUGUUCUCAAAAUACAUUUUGGAUUAGUAGAUUAAUUGGAUAUAAGACAUGAAAUAGAAAACUGGCCUAUAUUUACACAUAGUCGUUCUAGUGAAUAUAAAUUUCAGUUCCUUGUUUGUUUGUCCCAGAACUGUACAGUAGAACAACGUGUCUAUUAGUGGGCUGGUACAAUUCUAUUAUAGCAAAUGCACAAUUUAUGUUUAGUUCUUUGCAAUCCUAUGUGUGCAUAGAGAUGGAAAAGUCAGAUAAUAGGCAUUUUACUGCACACUAACUCAAUUAGCACUUUGAUAGAAUUCAUUUUAUUCCCUUUUUAUAUUCUUGUAAUUUCUAAUGAGAUUUUAAGAAUGCUCAGUUUAGUCACCUUUAUGAGAUAGGUGCUUUAUGUAGCUUUUAAGUUAUCCAUAGUUUGUAUAAAUUGCUGUUUGAUCAUUUUAUGUACUAGAACUGGAAGAAAUUUUAAUUUGUGUAAAUCAUUCAUUCAUUCAUUUUGUUGUUGUUUUUUUCUAUUUUGUGUGUUUGUGUCCACUUUGCAUUCCAAAAUUUAGCAUUUACUAAAAAGGCAUAUAAUUACAGUGGGUUUAUGAGAUUAUAGGAUUAGGGAUAGUGGGGACUAAGGUAUAGGUUGCAUAAUUAUAUUCACUAAGCCGCAAGCAUAGGCAACCUUCGGCACUCCAGAUGUUUUGGACUACACCUCCCAUGACACUUUGCCAGCAUUAUGGGUGUCAGAGCAUUAUGGGAAAUGUAGUUUGCAACAUCUGGAGUGCUGAAGGUUGCCUAUCCCUGCACUAAGGACUUGUGGUUAGGCUAGUGAUUGUAUGGUUAGGGAAUAUUUAGGGUUAAGGAAGAGAACACUGAGAUGCAAUGGGCAGUAAAUUUCCAUCUUUACCUUGCACAGAAUGAUGAGAGUUAAAGUCUGUAGCAUCCUGGAAGGGGAUAGCACUAAGUUAAGUCCCCCAAGUCCAAGACCCUCAAUUCUACCUUAAGAACAUAACUUUUAAAGUUUCCCUAAUACCUAUGUAUUUCCUUGACCCAAACCUUAUGGCCCAAACCUUAAAGGAGAUGUGCUAUUUAAAUGUAGAAAUACACAUCUCUGCUUCUUGUAUCAGCCAUUCAGCACAGAGAGAGCUUAGAGAGAAGAGGAGAAAUGAAACACCGUUUCUAUUUCUCCUCCUCGUUACAAUAUGCUCUGGCUCUGGAUUAAGAUAUAAUUUACUAAAUAUUUAAUAGAUGUCAUAAUCAUGUACAGAUAUUCAGGGACAUUGUAUCAGUUUCAAGUACAAUUUACUGUAUUCAAAAUUGAGCAAACCAAGUGGAAUUUGUGCCUAAGUGAAGAUUCAAGUAUUUUGUCCAAACUGAACUUGAUCUCAGGUUCAUUGGCAUAAAUUAAAAUUUAAAAGGGGUCACAUAGUUCAGGAUUUUUUUAUGAAUUAUAUUACAUUUAUAAUUUUAUUAAAAUAUCCAGCUAGCACAGGAAUACAUAAAAAAAACAGCCCUCUGGCUUCACGUGUAUUAAAACAAAUGAAUAAAUACUUUUAUAGAGCCACUCAAUGUAAUUUCAAAACACACAGUCAGUAGGGAAUAGUCUGUUUUAUAUAUAAAUUGGAUUAUGGCAAUAUAUGACUAAAUAAUGUGUUUUCCACUUUUAUCAGCUUUAGCAUGCUGUACUUUGCCAACAGCAGACAUGGGAGAGAGAGGUCUUUGCAAACAAAAUGCAUGACUUAAUAAAGACUAUGCUGAGUCCAAGCAAGUUGCCAUUUUGUUGGUUAGGAAUUAAGUACCAUCUGAAUGGCUGGUCCUUUCGGCAUGUGAAUGCAAAAAAUGCAAAACUUUAUAAAUGACCCUGGAUAGGGGGCUAUCCGUCUAUGUUCUUGCCCCACCCACUGUUUACUUGAUCCAAUUCCUACUCAUCUUAUCCAAACUCUUUCCUUAGUCUUCAUUCACCUCCAACACUUAUGAUCAAUCUCUAUAUCUCUUUCUUUCUCUUCUAAUGUGUUCCUCACUUCCCUCAAAUAUGCAACUUCCAAUCUCAUCCUAAAAAGUAAUCUCUUGACCCUAGUAGUUAUCCUUCUAAUUACUGUCCAAUCUCAUUACUCCCUUUCACUUAUUCGUUUCUAUAACAGAUUAUAUACACCUGUCUAACAAAAUUUCUCAAUUACAAUUCCCUCCAAAACCCUCUAUACAGUUUCUACUCUCUUCCUAUGGCCAUUCUUUACUUGACUAAUGUUUUAAUCACCACUAAAUACAAAGAUCAUUACUCUCUUUUAAUACUCCUCAACCUUUCAGUCUUAUUUGACACUUGUUGCUUCUUCAAAUCUUAAACAAACCUUGGACAACUCCAUCAUUUCCUGGUUCUCAUUCUAGCUCUCCCAAUCAGUGGUGUUUUCUGGUUUUGUGCUGCCCUAGGCAUAACAAAACUCGGGCACCACCCCUCCAAAUUUCUCUUCCUGACAGACACACGCCCUCAACGAAUGCAUGGACUGACAUACACUCACUUACAGAUACACAGUCAUUGUCACACACACUGUUUAACCAACACACACUUUCAUUAAAACAUAGACAUUCACAGACAUACACACUCACUCAUUCACAGUUACACUCACUCACAGUUACACACACACACACAACACUCACUAACAGACACACACUAACGCUCACUAACAGACACACACUAACUAACAGACACACACACACUAACACACUCACUAACAUACACACUAACACACUCACUAACAGACACACACACUCACUAACAGACACACACCAAUACUCACUAGCAAGCACACACUAACACACACAAACUCAGUGUCAGACACACACAUUGACUGACAGACAUACAUAUACUAGCUGACAGACACACAUAUACUAGCUGACAGACACACACUAACAAACAUACACAUUCACUAGACAUGUGCAAUUCGUUUCGGUCCGAAUAUGAAUUCAGACGAAUUUCGGGCAAUUUGGACAUUCGGGUACUUCUGAAUGUCUGAAUAGCCGAAGUGCCGAAUUGCCAAGGUCACAAAGUUCAGAAAUUACCGAAUUUCCGAAUUGUCAAAGUGCCGAAGUUCCGAAGUUGCCGAAGUUCCGAAGUGUCAAAGUGCCGAAGUUCCAAAGCACAGUAUUGCCUAAGUAUUAAUAUACUUGCCCAGUGAAAGAAGAAGAAUGUUACAUUGUUUACAAUUUUAAAUAAAAAGUAUACAAACGUAACCAGGAUUCAGCUGUAAGCAUUUGCAACACUUACAAUCAAGUAACAUACAUUCAUAUAAAAUGUAAGUUACUUAGCCUGUCAAUGCAAUGACAGGAAUGAAUAAGUAGAUAACUCCCUAAUUCCCACGGUAUUAAGGAGUUAUCUACCAAAAGGCUGAAAGACCUAAAUUGGUCUUUCAGCCAAAUUUACUAAUUCUAAGUAAAGAUUACUUAUUUUUAGUAAAUUAUGCCCCUACUCGCUAUGCCGCGAGUAGGGGCAUGUCUAUUAAACAGUAAGCAGCCUGUGGCAGCUCAUUGUUAAAAAAAUAAAUUAAAAAAAAUCCACUUAAUCCACCAGUCAGAAAGUUAUGAGUCAUAUUACACAGCGUGGGAAAAUUCCAAAGAACUUUCCCACGCUGUGUAAAAUGACACAGAGCACUCUGAUUGGUGGAUUUCAAACCAACCAAUCAGAGUGCUGUGACAGGUAAAUGUAGAGACUUACCUUUCAGUCCCUUCAUUUACCUGUCAGAGCACUCUGAUUGGAUGGCUUAAACCCACCAAUCAGAGUGCUCUGAGCCUAAUUGCAGUGCUGGGCAAGGCUUUAUAAGCCUUCCCCCGCCUUGCAGAGCUUAGUCUGCGUAGAGCCCUCGCCGGGUGAAGAUGGAUUAUUAUUAUUAUUAUUUUUUUAAUUGCGUCGGUUAUUAUGGUUUUUUAUUUGGCCUUUUUUGGGGUUGAAAAAAGAUUUUAGAAGAAAUAAAACAUUGAAUAGUAAGUUUUUUUAACUUAGUUAAAGGUCCCCCCUUCAUUAUUUUUAGGGUGAGGGGAGUAGGUAGGGGGAUAAUUAUUUUUGGGGUGGUGACUAGGGGUUUGGGGAUCCCUAGUCACCUGGGGGGGAUCAUUUUUUUUUAGGGCCCUCACCCGCCGCUCAGGGGUGGGGGCCAGGGAGGAGGACAAUAGGUCCCCCUCCUGUUGGUAUUUAGGGCCCCCACCCGCUGCUCAGGGGUGGAGGCCCGGGGGGAGGACAUCAGGUUCCCCCCCCUUAUUCCAAUUUAGGGCCCCAGCCGCCGCUCAGGGGUGGGGGUAAGGGGGGAGGACAUUAGGUCCCCCCCCUUAUUAGUAUUUAGAGCCCCCACCCACCACUCAGGGGUGGGGGCCGGGGGGGAGGACAAUAGCCCCCCAUCAUUUUACUUUAGGGCCCCCACCCGCCGCUCAGGGGUGGGGGUUCGGAAGGGGGGAACCUAAUUUUUUUUUAAAACAGUGACUGUUUACAAGACAUGCCCCUACUCGCGGUGUAGCAUUUUUACUUAGUAUUAGUAAAUUUGGCUGAAAGACAAAUUUAGUUCUUUCAGCCUUUUGGUAGAUAACUCCCUAAUACCGUGGGAAUUAGGGAGUUAUCUACUAAGCGGUUGCAAUAGAAGUCCCGAAGUGCCGAAGUCCCGAAGUGCUGAAGUUCCGAAAUUCCGAAGUUCCGAAGUUGCGAAGUGUUGAAGUGCCGAAUUGCCAAAGUCACGAAUUGCGAAAAUCCCGAAUUUCGGAAUGCAGAACCGAAAAUUUUCCCCAUGCACAUGCCUUACAUUCACUGACCGACACAUACUCUCAGUGACAGACACGCAUACACAUGCUGACAGACACUAAUACACACUCACUGACAAACACAUAUACACUCUCAGUUAACACACUCACUAACAGACACACACACUCACUAACAGACGCACACUAACACUCAAUAGCAAGCACACACGAACACACACUAACACUCACUAACAGAUACACACUAACACUCACUAACAGACACAAUCACUAACAGACACACACUAACACACUCACAAACAGACACACUAACACACUCACAAUUAUUUAAAAAAAUUUUUUUUAAAGUUCAAUCCACCCAGCCUCUCUACCUUUGGAAGUUCUGGAGUGAAUUCUUCCUUGAGGUCCAGUGGGGCUGGGCUGGCAGGCAUGUGGGUGGUCGGGCGGGCAGGCAGGCUCAUAGUGGAGGCGGCGAGGGAGCUAUGAUGCUGGAGACGGAGUGACAUCAUAUUCCGGCAUCACUGCGGUGCGCACGAGGGAGCUGAACAGGGGAGAGUGCUCCCUUGUCGCCCGCCUACAUCAGCGCAUACCAGCUGGUCAGCUCCCGGGCCCCCUAAGACAAGAGGUUGGCAGGGCAUUUGCCAGGGCCACUGGGGGCGGCUUGUCAGCCUCGCGGUAAAUACAGCGCUGCUCCCAAUACUCAUUUAUUUUCUCUCUAUCUACCUCCUCCUCUAUGUCAAUCUACCAUCUGGUCUCAUCUUUUCUUCCAAUAUUCAAUCUGUCUCUAAACUGACUGUAACUUCCAUCUUGAAAACAUUGCACAAAUUCACCCGAGCUAAUGCAAGAAUCAACUAAGGUGCUUAGGCUGUCAGAGUGUUGCAACGGGUCAUCAUAUCAGGCCGAGCUCAGAAGAGUUGGAGAGAGGAGGAGCUAGAAAGUGAAGUUGGUAUUGGCUGGCCCCCUCUGCAAUAUACAGUGCAUGGCACCUUGCACCAUGCAUCUGGACUGCCAUGGAAUGUAAUCUCCCCUUCCCUGGCCACAGGUAAGAAGCAUGAAGAGGGGAAUAAAAUUACAUUUAUUAGCAUACAUUUAAAAAACACUUUUUUUGUUCCCACAAAAUGCAGCAACUAUUUUACACAACGUAUUUACAGACACUGCAUCCACUACACAAACACGCACUGCAUCCACUACACACACUCCAUUCACUAUACACCCACUGCAACCACUAAGUAAAUACACACUCUGCAUUGACUAUACAUACUGCCUCCACUACACAAACACACACACUGCAUCCACAACAAAAACAUACGCUGCAUACACUACACACACACACACUGCAUCUACUACACAAACACACAUUAUUUAUUCACUAUACAAACAGCAUUCACUACACACUACAACCACUUCAUACACUCUGCCCAGGGGCGUACUGAGCACUCGGGCAAAUCGGUCAUGGACCGCGGGCCUUUGCUGCAACAAAUCUUCUCCUCCGUGCAGGGCACACUGAGGGACAGCUAAGGGGCCUUCCAAAGACGCCCUUAGGCUGCCCCUCAGUGUGUCUAUCUCAGUGUAACACUGCUCAAGGCAACUCGGUGCGGCUUGUUCUGCAGGAAGUGACAUCAUCAGUCACAGUGCAGAGUGAGCUGUGCGGAGCUGCCUUGAGCAGAGUUACAGGCAGCAUGUCUGGGGCAGUGAGAGACCUCCAGAAGAGGAUUAGUGGACCACUAGGGAGGUAAGAGGUGAGGGGGGAUUUAUUUUUUAAAAUCUUUUUUUUAAAUUUAAAAUAUUUUAAUUGUAUAAUUUCCCCCACUACUGCCCCAGCAAAGCCCUUAUACCCCCAAAGCCACUAAACCUUUACACGCACUACAACUCCUAUCAUCCCAAGGCAGCCCCUACACCCUCUGUAGUACCUACCCCCACACCCUCUGCAACCCAUACCCCUGCUCUCACCUGCAACCUCUACCCUCUGCUUCCUCUGCAGCCCCUAUCCUCCUGCUCCCUCUGUAACCACUAUCAUUCUGCUCUCCCCUGCAGCCCCUACUCCCUGCUCUCCCCAGCAUGCCUCUACCCCCCUGCUCACCUCAGCAUGCCCAUACGCCCUGCUCUCCCCGGCAUGCCCAUUCCCCCUGCUCUCCCCAGCAUGCCAUUACCCCCUGCUCUCCUCAGCAAAGGUGAGUAAAUCACUUUUUUAGUGGGGGCCUAUAAACCUAUACUGUCUGGAAUACACAUUUGUAUUCCUGACACUUUAGUGUUGCUUUAAGGUGGAUACACAUACAGACACACAGAUACACAUACAGACAGAUACAUAUACAGACAGAUGCACACACAGACACACAGUUACACAUAUAGACAGAUACACAAACAGACAGAUGUACAUACAGACACACAGAUACACAUACAGACACACAGAUACACAUACAGACAGAUACACACACCGACAGAUGCACAUACAGACACACUGAUUCACAUACAGACAGAUACACACAGACAGUGGUAUUUCAAUGCCGGCUGCACGCAUCAUGAUGUCCGGCCGAAAAGAAUGUGGCGGGUUCAAGGGGUAGCUGCUUUGGGCCCAUUAGGAAUGACUGGGCCUGAGGCAGAUGCCCCUUUUGCCCCGCGUUAAAGACGGCCUUGCUUCAUCCCCCAUAAUGCACUUGCAGCCAUAGUGCUGGCAAAGCAUCAGGAGAGAGACAGUGCACAACAUCUGGAGUGCCAAAGACUGCCUACCAGGUCACAGGUCACUAUUUGGAGGAGUGAUAGAGGGUGGUGUGGCAUAGAACGACACCAAGGACUUGAGGGAGCCCCAUGUACUGACUCUGUAUGCAGAAAUUGAAACCAAACGUGACUGUGACUUUCCAUCCAGCACUCUGGAACUCCAUGCUGGAUCGGAGGAUGCUUGCAGCCUGGUCAAAACUUAUUAUCCAGACUAGACACCUCUGAUCCAAGCAUGUUUUGGACUGAAUACCUGUCUAGCAGAAAGCUGUCGGGCGGUGACACCAGCUUGAGUAAGUGGGCAUGGGAACUGGUGGUUUUGGGGUGUAUUGUUGUUCGGCACUGAAGUGUAUGACUGUUUAUAAAGUUAACUUGUAAGGUACAGUCACUCAGGUGCCAGGUAUUGUGUAAUUCUAUUUCUCUCCUGGUGAUCACCUGUUGGUGACAGUCACUCCAAUACAGUGUACAUGGUUUACCCUUACAUCAAGCCUCGACUGAUGACUAGGAGAGAGCUAUAAUCCCUCUGGGGCUUUCACUAAGGGGAAAGGGAGUCCAUGACAGCAAUACUCUGGUCACCUAGGAGAGGUCUGCCACAAUGGCCUUAUCAGGCAGGAGAUUCAUGAUGUAACCCACUCUCUAUCUGAUAGGACCUGAGAGCUAUCUCAAAAUGCACUCUUGUCUGGUUAAGGAAACCUCUGUACUGCAUUUGGUCUAUAUUAAAUAAAGGAGGAAGUACACUUUAUGUCUCUUGAUGCCUGUGGCAAAGGACAAACAGUGCACAAUCUUUGAAUUAAGUGCUUUUUAAAAGUCGGUCUUGCUGAGAUCGACAACAACGAUCUAUUUCUCACAGGAAAAAAAAAUGAUUAAAGUUGUGUCGAAAUAAGAUGUAUCAUCUUACUUUAAGUUCUCAUUGCAGCCAAACACCCAAAAGAAAGAGAAACAAAUGUAUAUAGUGAGAAUCUGUAUUUUUCCAAUGUAGUAGUAUCACACUCACAUGGCACUGAGCUAUACCCAAAGUAAUCAGCAUUAGCGGUAUAGCACCUAGUCAGGAUCCCAGGUGUAUUUUAAUGCAAUCAAAAUGUAGAGAAACAACAGAAAAAAAGCUCCAAUUAUGAUAUAUUUAUUUAUAUUGUUGUGUAUAAAGUAAGUCAGAAUAAGUUCAGAAGAGUACAAAGAACAGUAUGUAAUACCAAACCGUAGAGGUGGCCGGAAUUAACAUAUAAUAGAAAAACAGAACGAUUGAAGAAGAGGCCGAGGUCAAAUGAGUGAGUAAUAAUGACAUAUUGGUUAGGCAAACCAAGGUCAGCAUUGGAGAGAUUAGGAAAGUAAAAUUACAAGCCAAAGUCAAUAACUGGAAAAUUGGAAAACUAUCAAAACACACUCUCGGGCUUCUAGAGAUCACAACAGAGCACAGGCCUCCUAGUGGACUGAGAUUUCAUAGCCCUGGCAUCUGAUGUCACCAGAACGAUGCCAGAACAUCAUAGAAGAGUGGUGCUGGAAAGACGCCGUGACUGCAUCGUUCAGGCUAUAUAAAGAGCUGUGCACAUAGCAUUCUUUGUCAUUUUUGACAGUGAAGUGAUACACACCAUCAUUAUUGUGAGGUUAAACUGGUUAAGGACAUGUAAGCAAAAAACAAGGCUGUGCAUCGAUGUAAGGUCCAAGGCAGAAUUUAUUAGAUUUUAGUGUUUAUUUGGGUUACAGCAGUUUAGUGAACCAUUAUCUUCUAGGGCUGAAAUAUUGCUGCAAUACAUCCAAUAAAUCUUACACUGAACCUUACAUUGGUGCCCAAUUCCUUCUUUUUUCUGAUGUGUUUUUAAGGCAUGGUAUGGUAAUUUUUUCUCCUUCUGUACCUAUCUCUUUUCUCUUGUAUCGUUGUAGCAUUACUUACCUUAACCGGGGGCCGGUCGCGGUCCUCUCUUCAAGCCGCGCGCGGUCCUGCGGCUGCACGAGCCGCGCGCGGCUCAUCCAACUACUUUGGAUGGAAGGCGGGCAGUGACCGCGUGAGGCGGUCACGUGUCCCGCCUGAAACUAAGAGCGCGCCGCGAGUCUCGGGCGCGCUCUUAAAGAGACAGUGGGAGCCUAAUUGCCAAAAGGCUCCCAUUGGCUCCUGUCAUACCACACUCCCUGUACAAUUACCUAUAGGGGGUGUGGAAGUGACAGGAGCCAAUCACUUUCGUUUUAAAGCUAUUUAAACUUACCUUUUUCCCUUAGCUCGUUGCCCUAUCGUGGUUUCUGUUUCAGUUCCCUUUAGCGCUUGUAGUGUUCAGUUGUGUUUUCUCGUAUUGACUUUGGCUUCGUAUUCUGACUUCGUUUUCGCUUUAUCCUUAUCUGUACUGUUUGCCGGCUUGCUGUUUUCCGUGUACCAGACCCCGGCUUGUCCUAGUUUACGCUGUCUCUCUGUGCCCUUGACCUCGGUUUGUUCCUGGCUCUGUCUUCUCUCAUAUACGUCGAGUCCGGCCAUUCUAAGGUCCGGUAGACGUAUCUCUCCUCUGUAUUUGCCUCUAUUUAGCUGGAUCCUGCGUGUAGGGGUAUAUUCUCGUUACAAUCGUGAACUGACAAUGACCUGCAUCAUUUUGCUGCUAGAAUGAAGCACUGUGUCACUUUUGCUUUGUUGUUUGCAAGAAAACAAGAGCAUGAUGCACACACUAAAAGAGGGGGAAUACUUCCUACACAGGGUGCUCCAGAAAGGGAGGGCCAAUCGCUGGAGACAUCAAAUGGAAGAAAAGAUUAAUAUCUAGGCACACCUGAGGCUUCUUCUAAAAGGCAGACUUUUUAAUUGGAACAAAAAACUGGAGACUACAUUUCAGCUCCUUUCUGAGUCGUUAUCAAGACUUGAUAAAGGCUCAGAGAGAAACCGAAACGUUGCCUCCACUUUUUCAAAUAAAAAGACUGCCUUUUAGAAGAAAACUCAGGUGUGCCUGGAUAUUUAUCUUUUCUUACUUUUACUUUGUUGGACUGAUCAUCCUGUGUCAAAAUUAAUAUUUGGAAUAUUACUCCACAUGAUGUGAUGCCAGCUAGAGCUGGGUAUCCUGGCACUUACAUGGUAUAGCCUCCACCAACAGGAUAGCAUAGCAAUCACAGCCAAAGACAACUGGAUCUGUUAACAAUUAACACAUUAAUUAAUUAUAAUUAUUUAUAUAGUUCUAACAUAUUUCAAAGCACUAAAUAAUAGGUAAACAAGACAAACAAUUCUAACAAACAUGUUUGAUACAUACAUGCACCGUUCGACAUACGGGAACAGUAGGUAAAGAGGGCCCUGCCCAAACAAGCUUACAAUCAAAAAUAUAAUUAAAUAAUCACAAUACAAUUGUACAAAAAAAGAUUAUAAAAGCACAACAAAUGUCAACCUUCAGGUUUUUUCAAAGUUUUAAUUUUAUCCGUCUGCCAUGAUAUAUUUAUAUAGUGUUCUUUUAGCUCACAGUUUGUUAUACAUUUUUACUCCAAACACACUAAUGAAAUUCCACAUUAGAUCAAAACAACGUAUCCAAUAACGAUCACUUGGAAAAUCAUUGCGAAAGAGACUGUUUUAGGCAUUUAUUUAAAGCAUAUCAAUUUAAGAUACCAAGACUGUUGUCAUAGUAACUUUGGGGGCAUAUAAUGAACACAUUUUUUUACAUUAAAAUCAAAAGCAUGAUACAAAUGUGUAUCGUGAAAUCUGAGUUUGUAGUUAUGUUUUCUUACCCACUAUAUUUAUAGUUGGACGUGUUGCUAUAAUGAACAUCACAAGCAUAUAUGCAUAAGCAAGCCAAAUAUAUUUUACUUGUUAAACAUAUUGAAUAAAUUAUAUGGCUGCAAACAAAGGUACAUUAUAAUAUCAAGUGAUCAAUCUUAACAGAGGUUUACAUUGCGAUAUAUUAUAUUGCAGCCUAAUUAUUAUACGGUAUAACACAUUCCAUGUUGCCAUAGUUACCAAUAAACUUUACUACUUACACAGCAGUCUGUGGAAGCUAGGUCCUUUAUACUGGGCAUACUGAUGAUUUUAUUAAAGACACGGAGGCUUCUAUUAUGCUGCACUCUUUUUUUCUAUUUCUGCAGCAAACAUAUAACAUUAAAAUAAAUCAAUAAAAUAACACAUAGAUGGGGGCAGAGCUAGCAACGGAUCCAAGCAGCCGCAAGCCUAAUGUGCUCCGCUAAAAAACAGCAGAAAACUGCAAAUUUCUGCUACACUCUUCAGCUGGAUGAAGUGAGAACUUACCCUAGACCCAUUGCAAAAACCAAAAAAUCCAGGGCAGAAAAGACUCCAAAUAGUUGAGAUAUCAGCAAUCUCCUUCAGCACUCACAUCAGGCCGCAUGACCCAAUAUGGCACCGCCUGACAAAGGGUCAUCAUUCAGAAAAUUUUGCUGCAGACACAGAAUUGGGCCUGUCCUUUAGCACAGUGCUUGGGGGAAAGCCUACCCCUGCUACAGAAGAUCAGGAGCCAGUCACGGCAGCUCUUCUUAAAACUAUGCUGGAAGAUCUGCGCAAAUGUUUAGCUGCAGAUAUCUCACAUUUAAGGCCUCCAUCGAGAGUGUCACCACUAGAAUCACACUACUGGAAACCAUAACAAGUGCUCAAGACUCUAGGGUGACCUUAGUGGAGCAUAAAUUGGAGGAGAUCCAGCAAGCUCAACGAAACACGCAUACCCGAGUUGAGAUACUGAGUUGAGAUGAAAUGCUGCACUAGAUCAAAUGGCUUCUAGCUGCACUAAUGCAACCUAAACUACCUAAAGAAAUUAAAUUGGAUGGCAUGUUCCGGAUACCGAAACCACCAACUUUCCCAACCUCAGCUACGGCUGGCCUAAUUGUGCGUUUUCAAACUCUUCAAGAUAAAGCCAUAUUCCUCGCGGUGGUGAGAGUAAAAAACAUCAAUCCAAUUUGAGGGCUCAUCUCUCCACAUCUUUCCAGACCUUUUUCAAAAUACCUUGCAAUAGUGGAGAUCAUUGAGACCAAUGUUACAAGUUCUUCGAACCAAAGAAAUUGCCUAUUAUUGGGGUGUUCACUGAAAUGAAUUUAGGAGUAAUUAUUUCAGAUGACUUAAAGGUAGGUAGACAAUGUAAUAGGCAGACAAUGUAAUAUGUAAAAGUAGCAGAAUGCUUGGUUGUUUAGGGAGAGGUAUUAGUAGUAGAAAGAGGGUAGUGCUCAUGCCAUUGUACAGGACACUGGUGAGACCUCACUUGGAGUAUACGCAGUACUGGAGACUGUAUCUCCAGAAGGAUAUUGACACUUUGGAGAGAGUUCAGAGAAGGGCUACAAAACUGGUUCAUGGAUUGCAGGAUAAAACUUACCAGGAAAGGUUAAAGGAACUUAACAUGUAUAGCUUGGAGAAAAGACGAGACAGGGGGAUAUGAUAGAAACAUUUAAAUACAUAAAGAGAAUCAACACAGUAAAGGAGGAGACUAUAUUAAAAAGAAGAAAAACUACCACAACAAGAGGACAUAGUCUUAAAUUAGAGGGGCAAAGGUUUAAAAAUAAUAUCAGGAAGUAUUACUUUACAGUGAGGGUAAUGGAUGCAUGGAAUAGCCUUCCAGCUGAAGUGGCAGAGGUUAACACAGUGAGGGAGUUUAAGCAUGCGUGGGAUAGGUAUGAGGCUUAAGAUAAGGCCAGGGACUAAUGAAAGUAUUUAGAAAAUUGGGCCGACUAGAUGGGACGAAUGGUUCUUAUCACAUUCUAUGUUCCCAAGUGUGGGAUCUCUGUUAUUGUUGUAUGUAAUUUUGGGUACUGUUCUUAUUUCAUUUAUUUUAUCUUAUUUUCAUUGCAUUUCUAGUUUUGAUUAUUGAUUUCCCUAGCUGGGUUUCUGUAUCUGACCUCCCUAGCCCACUACUUGGGUCCUGGGUUGAUCCAGCAGGGCUUGGGAUGUCUUAGGGAUUUACCUGCCUUUAUCUUCACUUUUGCACUCUUUUACGCCCGGUUUCCAUUGGCCUCUGCUCCUUUGCUCACUUUGGAUUCAUGGAUUCGGUUUUCGGUUUUCCCAAAUGAGCACAGGCCCACAGAUUUGCUCUGUCAGCUUCUCUGGUGGCGGUGUCCUUAUCUGAAUCUAACACUCCUCACCCAGACCAUAAAGUCUUAUCUACGUCCAAAAAGUCCUUCAACAAAAAUUGUGAUGGACAGAAAUACACCUGUCACUGAUGGCUUUAGUUGAGCGACCACCCAAAAGUAGUGCCACCACGCCACUAGCCGGGCACAAUUGGCCACACUAUGUAAGAGUCUGAGCACAGUGAUAUUGAGAAGGAGGAGUCCCAUGAGUCCUACGUGGAUGCUUUGGAUGAUCAAUCUGAACCCAGAUUCUGAUUGUGCAAAAGGGGAGAUGGCCAUCCUCUCUCACGGCAUCAAGACAUCUGGCACUGAGGUAAAUCACCCUGUUCCUGGAGGAGAGGGUAAGAUCCUGGAUCCAUUACGUGAAUCCCUUUUUGAUCCUGAUGACCUACAUCAUCAACGAUCUGCUGAGUGUGCACCUUUGAAACAUAUGGCGUGAUACAUCGCGUCGCAUGUGCUCAAGCAUUUGGAGAGGGCAACCCAUAACAAACUAGGGGCACACUGCCCAUGGUUUGUUUAUGACGUCUGCAAGACUCCCAAUUUUUUAGCAAAACCGGAUGGAAGCUUAAGUAAGGCUUAGACUUCUCACUUAGGAAUUGUCAGAAUAAAAUCCUGGACAUAUUGGGUCCCCCAGUGCUUUAGCCUCUGACCAUACCACUGGGCAUUGGAGAAGACUGAUUGCCAGUCUCCUGCCAUGUGACUAUGGCCCCUGGGAUGUAUUGCCCUUUAAAGACAUGAUUUGGGCAUAAUGGAUUUGUGUUGUGCUGCUGCUGGCUGUUUAAGAACCAUCUGGGGACAUACUGUGGAGUUACUGGGUGGCCACCAUUUCAUGUAUCAGAGGCACAUGGUGAGAACAAUGGAUGAAGCACAUGGUGAGAACAAUGGAUGGUGGCUAUUUUAACUCACAGACACUGUUUGGACUUUUCUACACGGUGCCAUCUCGCCGGUAUUUGGUGCACAAAGACAUCGUGCAGUAAUUUUAAACUAUACAACAGGGGACACAUUAUAACAAGCAAUACCAAGUUUGUACUAUUGAAGAUAGAGCCUAGGUUAGUUAACUUUAGUAACUAAGGGCCUGGGGUUAUAUGUCCACCUUUACAGCUUUGGACAAGGGGCAAGCAUAUAUGUAGAAGGUGUUUCACACAAAUGUUUUUGCCAGGGCCAGAAGAGCCAGGAACCAUUGGUCCUUCCAUUUCCCAUGUGGUUCUCUUAGAUGAAACCAAGGUUCCUAUAUAGUAAGAUCCAGUUUCCCUGACCAAAGACCCACACCAACCUUCCUCCUCACAGUGUGACUGACCUUGGGUUGCUUGAGGAACACAAGAUGCUCCUUCGGGAUUAAUGUCCUUAUGGUAAGUUCUUACAAUCUUACUAACAGUGGGAAGCAUACUAACACAUUUUUUCCCAUGUAUGGUCCCUUAUUACAUGAGAUGCUUGGGUUCUCCAAGCUGUAAACUGUUUCAUUUCUUCACCAAUGUUUUCCCUCCAAGGGAAAUAGUUUUUUUUACUAAUGAGACACAGACCUCAACUCUAGGGAGAUACAAGAGUUGAUGUACAAACAAGACAUCAUUGAAACUCCAACCCAAACCCUCGGAUUCAUGAGCAAUCAGUUUUUGUUCCUCAAAAAGGGAGGGGAUGUCCGACAGGUAAUAAAUCUAAUCAACUCAACACUUAUGUGUCUUACCAUCAUAUCAAGACGGAAUGCAUAGAUCCGACAUUCGUCACAUGGAUCUGCAGGAUGCCUACCUCACAGUGCGUAUUGCAAACUGUCACCAAGAUUUCCUUCAGUACCCAUCGCAAGGACAAAAAAUGGUGGUUCUACUGCCUCCCGUUUGGACUGGCAUCAGCUCCAUUGUGCUUCACCAAGCUUAUGGACACUGUGGUUGCCCUACAAUAAAGUUGAGGGGUGCAUCCUGGAUGAUAUUCUGAUUUUGACUCAGUCUAUCCAACUUCUCUAUACUCAUCUUUUAUAGACUUUAACCUUAUGGCAGAAUCUCGGUUUCCUUGUUAAUCGUGAAAAAUCCAUCCUGGCCCCCUCACAUCAAAUUUCUGGGUCUGAUCGUAGAUGCCAGUGAACAGACCCAACACCUUCCUGUAACAAAGUUGACGAGCAUCAAAAAGGAAAUUAGACACAUGCUCGAUAUCACCCAACUCUCUCUGAAACACCUGGCACAAAUGAUAGACAUACUGGCAUACAAGCUAUUUUUCCAGGCCCCCUUCACUAUCGGGCUCUACAAUGAUUGCAAGCUUCUUACCUCAGAGGAAGUGCAUCAUACAAGGAUCUAGUGACUUUGGACUCGGAUGCAAAAGGCGAGCUCAGCUGGUGGCUCCUUCAUAUGAAGGCAUGCAAUGUUCGCACCAUAUUUGCCACAACUCCGGACAUAGUCAUAGAGUCAGAUGUAAGUUUAUAUAGUUGAGGUAAUAUAUAAUGGGGUGGAGCAUAAAGAAUAUAUAGUUAAUUUGAUAAAUACAUACGUAUAUUGAUUUAAAUAUUUCUGUAAAAUAUAACAAAAGAAGGAAACAGUGCAAGCACGUUUUAACAAUAUAAUAUAGGUGAUCUGUACCUAUCGGAAAGGUAGAGCCAAACAAUCACUUGGCUCUGGUGGCUAACGCUUAGGAUCUUUAAGGGAGAUCCAACACCCUCUUCCUAUUACUUAUAUAGGAAUUAUAUCACGACUGCUAGUGAGGUCCGGCACGCAGAACUAUGUAACAUCUACAUAGACAGAACAGAAAAUGAUAGAACGUAAACCGGUCCUUGGAAUGGCCGGACUAAUAUGUUAGACAGAGAAUGGUCAAGGGAUAGCCGAGGUCAAGGGAACCAGAAAAUAUACAAUACCGUUUAACAAGCCAAGUCAGGGAAACCAGAAAUCAGAAUAGUUAGGAAUAGCCAAGAUAAAAAUACCAGGAAUAUCAUAAACAGGACAAGAAAACGCGCUCUUGUGAACCAGGAACGGAAAGCAUGACAGGGCAAAGAACCAGGGAACUUCGGGGAUUUAAAUGUCCCUCCUUUGAUUGUGAUUGGUCAGAGGGUGACCUCUGACCCCAGAACGUGCGUGUGCGUCGACGUCGUAACGUCACACGCACAUUCUUGUGACCCUUGAGGGUGGAGCUAUUUAUGGCUGCGACCGCAUGGUCGGCGCCAACUUUAAUCAGGGCAGGCGGCCAGGAGAACCCAGCGGAGCGGCUCCAGACUCGCCGCUGAGCAGGUAAGCUCAGUCCGUCAGCGCGGUCACCCCGGUCGGGUGUGACUGCACCUCACGGCAAGCCGGGGGCCUUAAUAAAUUAAUAGAUGCUUACAAUUUGUCAAAUCACCUUUAACCAGGAUGACGAAAAACUCCAUGUAGAUAGUAAUAUUAAAUUUUAUUUUUAAAUGGAAAGUGAUCAAACAAAAUACAUAUUAAAAAAAACCUAUUGGAUAAAAAUUUUGCUGAUAUGUUGGCAUCCUCAGUUGGUGGAAAUGCAGAAUAAAGUUAAUCUGUUAUGAGAGUCUUUACAUAGCCCUUAAAUUAGAUUUCUCUGGGAUUUUUCAGUUGUGGAAUGCAUGCGGCGUUCCAUCUGUCCUUGGCGCAUGAUGAGGUCAUCUUUUUAGCGUCGUAUCAGGUGAUGUCAUAUCCCUGGUCUGUCCUUGGAAUGCGACCCAAUUUUGGGGUCCAUUGGAGAUAGAUCUUUUCACUUCUCCCUUGAUACGCAGGUCUGCAAUUUUUCAGUUGGAGACCAGAUCCAACAGCACUGCCAAAUAAUGCUUCCCUCCAUUUGUGCUCUUGAAGACGUAUGGGCAUCCAGUACAAGGCAAGCUUAUAGAUCUGCCUAGAGUACAUGGACUGGUUGGUGCCUGGAACAAAAUUUGGAUUCUGUAUGGAGUCCUUUGACGUCUAUUCUAAAUUUUCAACCUCUUUGAUGAGGGGAAAGCAUAUUGUACCGAGAACCUUUAUAGUUCAGCCAUUUCAGCCGGAUAUCACAGUAUAGAUGAUGCCCCUGUCAGACUUCAUCCUUUGUCUGUCGGCUUCUUUGUGGUGUUUGUUUUGCUUGUCCACCUUUACCAUGGUACUCCGUCCUGUGGUGCGUUUCUCUUAAUCUGAAUUUUUUUUUGACGCAUGCCCAAAUAACAUAACUUUCUGCCUAACUUGUUAUUUUAUUUUGCUUUAUCUUCUGCAAGAGAGUGUCUGAUGUUUGAGCACUUGAUGCCGCUGCUCGUCUGCUACACUAGAGGGCAUCCUCUUUGACAUAUCUCGUAGAUGUAUACCUGGCUUUUCUUAUGAGACCUCAACUUUGUCCGGUUGGAUGCUUGCGCGCAUAUAAAUCUCGUACAACCCCUAAAAGCAACCUAUUAAGGCCUUUUCAUCUCUUGUCACAUGACUACCCCUAUUCUAGCCUAUUGGGUCAAAUGGAUUAUGUCCGUAGCGGGUAUUGAUUAUUGUUUUUUCUCCUUAUUCCAUCCAUGGUGCAAUGGCCCUUAAGACUUCCAAAUUUUGUUUGGAAGACAUCUUAAAAGCUGCCAAUUGGUUUUCGGAGUCUAACUUCAAAGAAUUUUACUUCUGACCUACUCAUCAUUUUGUGGGAACCAUGAUUUCUCAGCUUCAAACUAGAAUAAUACGUGUCUUUAAUAAAAUUUAUAGAUUUUACUAUUACCAUGAUGUAAAGUCACAAUUUUAUUAAUGACACGGAGGCGUAUAUUAUCCCGCCCUUUCGACCCUGGCAGGCUCUUCUAUGCAUCUAGGUAGGACAAUUGAUUUUCUUCUAUACAUCACAGUAACUCAUCUGGUAACCAGUUAUGCUAUGCAUUAUUCUUUAGGUUCAUGUUUGAGUUUAAUAUUGGUUUGAUGUUACUUACAUGUGAGAUUUCAUUCAUUUCUUGAUAUUAGACAUGUGCACCAGUGAAAUUUUCGUUUUGUACGAAUUAUUUCAUACUAAAUAAAAAUGUAAUUUGUCAAUCCCGAAUUUCAUCCGCAAACCAUUAGUUUUCAAAUGAAAUUUGUUAAAAAAUAAUUUGUUUUGUCCAGUAACAUGAAAACAGCACUGCGCAUGGGCAAAAAAAAAAAGGAAGGAGGCAGCCAGCAGCACUGCUAGCUCCCUCCUUGUAAUAAAUAAAUAACUAUUCCUACCCCCCCUGCAUUAAAACCUAUGGGGGUCACUAUGACCCCCAUAUUAAUGAAAGGGAGGUUAAAUCCUCCUGUAUGCCACUACAUGCUGUAUGCCACGAGUAUGGGGCAUGUCGGCUAAACAACGAGCAACCACUGUCAUUUAACACGAAAUAUAAAUCAGAAAGGAGGUCACAUUGUUGAUAAAAGGGAGGUUAAAUCCUCCCACAUGCCUUGCCUAAACAAAUGUAAAAGUACUAGUGACUGGGCAGUCACUUGUGCAAUAAGGGGGCACCUGGCACGUGGCACAGGUUUAAUCCUACCCCAUGCAGGUCCCCCGUGUAGUAGGUCUGCCCUGUACCAGGUCCCCCGUGUAGUAGGGGCAUGUCGCCUAAACAGCGAGCAGCCAGCAGCUGCUUGCUGUCAUUUAAAACUGGAUAUAAAAAUCUGUAUUUUAUAUAGGAGUGAUUUAAUUAAUAUGUGACCUCCAUAGGUGUUAAUGCAGGGGUGGGGGGGGGUUUGGAAUUAAUAUUUAUUACAAGGAGGGAGUUGGUAGCGCUGCCGGCUCCCUCCUUGUUUUUUUUUUUUCAUGUAUGCGCGCUGUUAUUUCUCUGGGUUGUGGGGGUUAAUUCCCCUGCAGCACGGAGUCUAUUAAACGAACGAAACGAAAAGGUAAUAUAGUCGGGAUUUGCCCUUUCAUUUAGUUUAUAUUUUGUUUGUAGGGCUUUUGUUUUAAUUCACAUUUUAGUUCACAUUUUGGGUCCAACUCGGACUUCCGCUUGUGUUUUUUUGUUAAUUUGUUGUAUUGUAAUAUUGGUUCCUGUUUCGCUUUUGAGAUGACAAGAAGUGGUUAUCUUGGUCCUGUCUUUUAUAGAAUAGAAGCAAUGCUGAUUGGCUGACCUUAUUGCUAUGAGAAUGUGGUUGUUAUACUAUCUAUGUGUAAUCGUAUUUUUUUUUUUUUAAUGUUAUAUUUUUUUCUGCUGAGGGAAAUAAAGAAAGAGUGCAGCAUAAUACUCGCCUCUGUGUCAUAAAUAAAAUCAUAACUUUACAUCAUGGUAGGACUAAAAUCUGGGAGUUUAUACUGAUCAUUAGUCAGGAAUGUGCAGGAACAGACCACAAAUUAACAUAUAAACAUUCUGAUCCACAUUAAAUAUUACAGUUUAAUUCACAGAAAAACCUGGGUUACAAAAAUAAAGAAAAAUCAGACAUGCACAACUAUCUGUACUCCAGAACAUAACAGCUAAAAAUAAUUAUAUUAUAAAUUUGAGGACUUUAGUUCUAGGAAUUUAAUAAUAAUAAUAAUAAUAAUAAUAAUUUAAAAAAAAGUUAUCAACAAAUUCUUUUUUUAUAAUAUUUCUGCAUGUCUCUCAGAUAUCGCUGAGACCUCCUGUUGUAGUGUAGUCUGCUCAUUAUUAGUAAAAGGGGAACGGCCUGGAAAGUUAGGCAGAGCCCCAGUUUUUGUAAAUCCUUCCAAAAAUUGUGUUCCCAAAAACUCAUAGCAUCAUAACUGCUACAAUGAGCUGAGCUCACAUAAUCUGUUAAUUCAUAAGCGAAUAAAAGCCAAAGAAUGGUCAAGAUAUAGAGAAACUAGCAAAAUAUGGAAAUAAAUCACCAUGUUUAGAGAGGAGACAUUAAAUCCACCACAACAGCCUUUUAUUUUUUUAAAUGUUGGAAACAAAACAUCUAGCACCAACAAUUAUAUCACGUUCAGACCAUAUGUAUUGUCCAUUUUAAUGUUUGGUCAAAAAAAUGCAAACAACUCUUGAUCAUGUCUGCGUGCUUUAUAUAUUGAGUUACAGCUAAGUUUAUAAUAUACAAACAUACAAUGUGCAAAGGGAUCUGUUUACAUUAGUGUGCUUUAGAGCUUUUAAAAACAAAACAGAACCACCUAAUUCAAAAGAAGAAUUCACAAAACCAUUCUCUUAAAGCAGACUUGAAUUCAUCCAAUAAGCUCCAAUAAAAAAAUAUUUAUACGAGCCAAGUGUAGCAGAGGGCAGAGUGACAGUGUAAUGAGUCUCAUUAGAUGUUUUCAUGUUCUGGUAAUGAACUAAAGGGAGCUGAGUUUUAUUUCAGGGGUAUAGUCCUGAUCCUUUUGUUGGAGAAGUAUCGUCACAAACUCCAUGAGAACUUGCCAUUUUUACCUUAUCCUGUUAUUAGUUAUACUUGCUGGAAUAAUGCAAGAGGAGCUUACAUUGAAAUCAAGAUUUAUCUUUGCUGGCACAAUAAACAAACAGAGAUUAUACAGAGACUAACACUGCAUUAACUGUAAUAAAGUGUUAAGUGGAACCACAGAGUCAGUUAAACAGAGACACAUACAACUAAGGAUACACUGUUCAUUUUAGUCAACCGUAUACAAAUAUUAGAUAUUCACUUACUGUUAGAGUUUUCAGUUACUCUAAAUGUAUGAUAAUAACUGAUGGCUUUGUUGCUUUGUUUGUCAAAUGUAUAAAGAUGUGUGUAGUAAAAUAGCUAUGUCUACACCAGUGGCCACAUUAGGUACACAUAAUAAAUGGGUAUACUUUGGACAGAAAAGGAAGUCAUACAUUUUUAGAUUGGCACUAGUGCUGAAAAUAUAACAAAUAGUGUUUGGAAAAUAUUUAAUAUACCAUUAAAUCGACAUUUACCGUUGAUCCAAGAAAGUGAGAAUCUGUGGUUUCAUGGAGUUUUGACCAAUAUCUGGCCAUACCAUUUUCAUUAUAUUGAGAAUUCAGAGCAGAUUAUGCUUUUACAUUCCUCCUUAUCAUGGUUUACAAAAUAAUUCACUAAGCUCAGAUGUUAUUUCACCAUUCAGGGCAAUAUGAGUCAUUUAGAUGCAAAAUUUCAUAAUCAUCCAGUGUACCAAUUCAGAACUGUCUUUACAUUUACCCAAAUAAUGUUAUAAUUGGAAUCCCAAUUUACAUGAAAUGGGCUCAAAUUUACACCAAAAGCCUAAAUAUAAGGCUAACUAAUUCAGGGACUGCAUUGGGCUAAAACCCCUAAUUAAAAAGGUGGUUGAUCUGCAAUGGGACAGAUAAUUGAAUAAGUAAAUAAAUAAAUAAAAAGUAGUGUUCCACUAUUAAUAGAAGAACCCUUGUUAUUUGGCCUACUCUAAUCCAUUAUCAAAGUGCAGUAAGUGGUGAGUUUAUAAAUGGAGCAGUUGGACUGUCAUAGCUGCCCAGAUGCUCAUUUUCAAUUUACCUGGUCUAUCAGAUGGGGUUAAAUCCAUACUAGACACAACUUUUAAUAUCCUUCAUCCACACUCUCAAAGUACAGCAGUUGAAUGGCUAAAUAACAACGAGGAUCCAGUGAUCCCCUUUUCAAGAAGCCUCAGAUCGCAACCGUCUUCCACAACUCAUUUGCGACUGAGUCUGAGCAAAAUGUAUGAAGCUAUCAGACUUACCUUCUCCUUCGCAAACAUUACAUGCUCUCCAUGUAAAGCUGGGGUGCCUAGCCUACAAACAUUAAUAUAUUGUCAUGCCAGGUAAUGCCCAGCUCCCUAGAUUUAAAUACGGCCAUACUUUGCACCUAAUAAAGUGUUCCCAGCCUACAGCAUUGAAAUAGUGCCAAAACAUACACCUCCAUAAGAUGCUAAGGGGUUCCUAGCCAACAGUAAUAUUCACACUGAAUAGAGAAUGUGUAAUCCAUUGCUAUUACUACUUAUACACUAUAAAUUAUGCUACAAAACCUGUGUGUUUAUUACCCAAAAUACACACCAUGAAAUAAUUAGUGGAACAAUUCAAAUAGUAAAAUGGAACAUCGGUAACAGUAAAGGAACCUUACAAAAAUGUUUAAAUAUAAAUAAUAUACCAAGAUAUGUCUUUAAGAAAAGGCUAUAUUACCUGUACACAUAUCUAUUAAUAAAUAAACAGAAUAAAAAAUAUUUCAGAUAGCAUAGUAUGAAUAAUAAAUAACGUAAUUAGCCAAGUCGCUCCUUUCAAAGCUAAUAGGUGCCUGAUUCUGAGCAUUUAUGCUUCUCUUGUAAGUUCCACCACAACCUCCACCUGGCGAAAUAAAGGCUCAAGGAAAUCUUCACAGAAAUACUCAUAAAAAAAAAAAAUAUCAGGAGAAUAGACAGGGCCAUCGAUAAUGUCUAUUGGACCCUGGGCAAGCAUUUAAUUGGGCCCCCUGGACCCUGACUCCCCACCUCCCCACUCCUUGAUAUGCAAACACGCAUCACACUCCCCAACUCAGUGGCAGAACUGAAGUAGAGAGGGUCCUGGUGCAAGGACAGAUAGAUCCCAUCUGUUGUGUAACUUCAACAAUGCUUUGACAGCUGGGGCUCUACCAUUAUCCUAUGCAGGGUUGUAUUUAUCACUGAGCAUUGUUUUUGUGUUUGAGUGUAAUUGUGUUUUUGUAUGUUUGUAUGAAAGCAAGGGUAUAUUUAUUUAUGUUUGGUUUUAACACCAAGGAGUGUUUGUAUGUAGUGUUAAUGUUUAAAUGUGGGAGUGUGUUUGUAUGUAGUAUUGAAGUUUGAAUGCAGGAGUGUACUUGUGUGUAGUGUUGGCAUUUUGAAUGCUGAGAUGCAUGCACAUGUACACAUACACUGCAGUCUGCCACACACACACACACACACUGAAACGCAUGCAGAUACAAAGAUUUACACACUGACACACAUGCAGAUACACACUGACACAGAUACACACACUGAAACAUAGAGACACACAGAUACACAACCUGACACAAAUCCAGACACACAGAUAAACACACUGACUAUAUACACAUACACAGACAGAUAUACACACACAGGUACAAACACUGACAACAUACAGAAAAACAGAUACAUACAAUGAUAACAUACAUAUACACAUACUGACACACAUACAGACACGCAGAUACACACCCUGACACACAUGCAGAUACGCAUACACACAUAAACAAACACUGACAGACAUGCAGAUACAAAUACACACAGCAACACACAUUAAAAUACACACAAUGACACACAUGCAGAUACACAUAUACACACAAACUUCAUAGAGAAACAUAGAUACACAGACUGAAUUCAGAUGCACAUAUAUACACACUGACACACACACAGAUACACAUCCUGACACACAGACACACUGGCUGACAUACUGACACACACACUAACAGAGAUACUUAUAGACACACAGACACACACUGACUGACAUACUAACACACACUGACAGACAUACUAACACAGACAGAAAGACCUACUGACACACACACACACACACUGACAGACAUACUGACACACACAGACAUAUUAACACAGACAGACAUACUGACACAAACACACUGACAGACAUACUGACACACACAAAGACAGUGAUAGACAUAAUGACAGACACACAGACAUGCAGGCAUACUAAUACACAGACAGACACAAUGACACAUACAAACUUUACACUUUUAAAGCCACCCUCCAGUUCCCUACCUUUUGGGUACAGGAUGGUGGCUCUCCUGGGGUCCAGUGGCAGGCUGAGUUAGUUGGGAGUUAGGGUCUCAGAGGCUCUGGCACUCCACAUCAGGGCCCCCUCACAACUUGCAAGACUUACAUCUGUUGCUAAUGUCUUGGUACCAGAUACCACAGGACAUGUUCAGAGGUCUUGUAGAGUUUAUGCCAUGAUGCAUCAGAGUUGUUUUGGCAGCACAAGAGGGGACCUACACAAUGUUUGGCAGGUGUCUCUUAUGUUUCAGAAACAUAUGGCUGAUCAGUGUAGGAAGCCAUUGCAAUUCUCUUGUUUUGCUCAUUGAAAUAGGCUCACAUUGUGAAAUUCCUUGAAGGAUCACUCAAACUAUAAACUAAAAAUAAUAAAGUAAGAUGUAACCUAGUUGAAUAACCUAAUAUAAAAUCCAGGACCCAAGGUUUCCCCCUAGAACAUUGCCUGGAACAUAACACUGCCUCCGACGACCUCCUUUCUUCGCAUAGUGCAUCCUGCUGCCAUCUCUUCACUACGUAAACGACGCACAUGCACCUUGAUAUCCACAUGAUCUAAAAUCUAAAAAAAUUCUUAUUAAUCAGGCUAAAGUACCUUCUGGGCACGGUGGUGUUGAAACCCCUUGGUCCUAAUGUUUGGGGAGGAGAAGCCUUACCAGUUUAAGCAAAUGUGGCACAACUAGGGCCAGAUUAAGACCCCAUUGGGCCUGGUGCUUACAAUUACAAUGGGCUUCUUUACAGUAUUUUUCUGACAGAAAACACUAAAACAGUCAUACCUCCCAUGUAUCAGAUGGAGGUGGUGAUGGAGGAAAACUCACAAGAUGCAUCUAUAAGAAAACUCAUACGCCAUGCUAAUCUUUCACAUUCAGGCGGGUCUGCUUUAAACAUUGGAAGGUCAGCCUGGCCAAUCAUGCAUACUGGCUAACUAAGGAAGUACUAUGCAGAUGGCGCCCUGAGCUUAGAGCAAAUGUGUCUAAUAAUGCGCUCGCUAUAUGCUUUCUGGGGAGUGUCCCUUAGUACUCACUUGUCCUCUCCUUAUCUUCUUACUAGCAGGCAGAUCCUUUUAUGCAGCUUGGGACAGAGGAAAAGGUGGUUGUAGUGAGUUUAAAAGAAAAGGGACAUGCCACAGUUUUAAAGAGACUGAAGCAGCAAGAGCAAGUCAGCUUUAAAGGAUCACUAUAGGGUCAGGAACACAAACAUGUAUUCCCGACCCUAUGGUGUUAAAACCACCAUCUAGUCCCUCAUUCCUCCAUAAAUAUAGGAAAAUAUUACUGUAUUCAAGCCAGAAGCUGUAGAUCUGCAUGCUGUUUGCCUAAAAAAAAAACAAGCAGUCUGCUGACAUCAUCAGAUGUGGUGGUCUGAGCCAAUCACAAUGCUUCCCCAUAGGAUUGGCUGAGACUGACAAAGAGGAAGAUCAGGGGCAGAGCCAGCAUGAUUCAAACACAGCCCUGGCCAAUCACCAUCUCCUCACAGAGAUGAAUUGAAUCAAUGAAUCUCUAUAAGGAAAGUUCAAUGUCUGCACGCAGAGGGAGGAGAUACUGACUGUUUGUAAACAUUUUAGGCAGCCAUGACCCAGGAAGGAUCUCUAACAGCCAUCUGAGGAGUAGCCAGUGAAGUUAUCACUAGACUGUAAUGUAAACACUGCAUUUUCUCUGAAAAGACAGUGUUUACAGCAAAAAGCCUGAAGCUAAUGUUUCUACUCACCAGAACAAAUGCAAUAAGCUGUAGUUGUUCUGGUGACUAUAGUGUCCCUUUAACAUAACUAUAUUUAUAGUCAGCUAGUUCAUACACGUUUUGUUCCCCUACAUCCCUAUUAGGUUUCCACACUAUAUUUCCUCUGCACAAAGUGUAUUUUCUUUCUUUUUUUUUUUAAAUAAUUGUGCCUGUUCUAUGGGCAUGGGCCUGGAGCUUCAGCUACAUUAGCCCUACAUUGUCCUUCAGUACAGAGUUGCAUGCAUAUGCUAGGUAUGGGGUCCUGUGGUCUUAAUUCAUCUAUUGCUCUCCUAUCCAGUGGGGGAUUUAGAGAAAUAUCUAGAUAAGAGCAUUACUUAGAACCCACCUAAUAUAUAAUGAGGAAGGCAUUGGAUGUCUCUUGGUUACAAUGGUGUGUUCUAGUGUUUGCGUUUCUUCUAUUUCCUUUCCUCUUCCUCUAUCAGAUAUGUUUUUCUUUUUUUCAUUUUUUUAAUCUAUUUAAUUUCUCUACUUUGUGAUAUAUAUUUUUCCUUCGCUUGGCAUUCUUAAAACAAGUGGAGCUUAAGGAAAGCUCCACUAUCUUGAUAAAGGAUUUGGAGCAUGUCUUAGCUCUUCCCAUUAUCAAGAUUGUCAAGCAUAGAAAAAAUAAAUAAGGCAAAGUAGUCCUACUUUUUCUUAUGUUUUAAAAAUAAAUAGAUCAGAAACAGAGAAAAAUGGAGAAAAGAAGAACAGGUUCUGAGGGACAAAGAGAAAAGUAAACAAUAGAAGUAAGGUAAGUUUGAGGUGACAGAGACAUUUUAUGUGAGUGUUUCCUCUCCUAAUAACUACUGACCAAUAGCAAAAAUAGGUGCUGUCGUAGUUUUUGUGUGCUCGUGGUCGUUCUAUUUUAUACAAUAGGAAGGUGUGUCAUAGCUUCAAUUUCUGUUGAAGUAUGAUAUAUGAAUAAAUGUUUGCAGUUUUGCCCUUCUGUUUGCAUUUUUAUGUUUUCACCAUAGUUCUUAAGUUGCUUUGUGGUUUCUGAUUAAAAACGUUAAACAUGUAAACAGUUUGUAAAAUUAUUCACAAAGGUAGUUGAAAUGCUUUUACAUUUAUAGCUGAAUAGCUAAUUUAUGACCCAUAACAUAAGCACUUCUUUAUCCUUCACUUGUAUAUAAAAUAUCUCAUGGAUUUAGAAAUCCCUAGUCACUUUUAAAGUGGACAACACGUGGCACCAGAAUUAAUUCACAGUUUUUGGAAAGAAUGAGAAAAACAAUUGAAACAAAUUCCUGUACUUUUUUGAGCUGUUUCUAUAGCAACGAAGGGAAAACAACAUAUAGGGAGAAUUCCAUUUCCUGCCUGACUUUUUUAAUAAGCCUAACUUGGAGAACAUUUCAGUUUUCCAUGAGCUAUUUUAACCCCUCUGCCCCCUUCGAGUCCCUCUCUCCUUGUUUCCUAUUAAAGGAGCAUUUUCUCCCACACAUUUUCCAUUAUUUUAUUUAACCUUUUUAUCAUUCUCUUACACACAAAUUUUCUUUCUCACGAUCAGUUUACCCUGCCCUUCCUUUUUAUCAUUAUCAUAGACAUUUCUCGACUUUGAAAAACAACAUAGAUGUAGAUAAACUUCUCAGAUCUCCCUAUAGACCCUUUAAACCAUAUCUUUUAUGACAUUUAUGAUAGGCCUACUAAUUUAACUCUUUUAUUGCAGGAUGGGCAAGCAAAGCAAUGCUGACUUUUUACCACUAAAAGAUUUUACUAAUGUCUGGUCAAAAUUAAGUUGUCUUAAAGAUGUUGCCAAAGACUGACCCACUUAUUUUCUUGCAGAAAAAACUUGUUUUAUAUGUUUUACAGUGUAUUCAUCCCAUAAAACAAUAUUAACGGGACACAGAGAUUUCUCUUAGCUUAAAUGAAAAUCAUGUCAGCAGGGAGCAAAAAAACCAAAACAACAGUAUACUGAGUAGUUUUGCCUUAUAAAAAUGUAACUUUGUUUAAGGUGGAUAUAGAUCCUAGGUGACAUCAUCAAUGGCAUCAAUCAAUUGUACAUGCUUAUAGCAGAGUUUUCUAAGAAAAAGAUAUAGAGUGGCUAGACCAUGGGUCGUCAACCUGGUCCCUACCGCACACUAGUGGGCGUUUCAGGAUUCCAGGUGGGCGGUAGGGAUUUUCUAAUUUUGAGAGACCAGGCGGGCGGAUGCAAGCCGGCGGUACCCCUGCGACCGGGUACCGCCAUCACCAUUUGCCACCAUUUUGUCUGUGUGUGUCUGUGUCUAUGUGUGUGUCUGUGUCUGUAUGUAUGUGUCUGUAUCUUUGUAUGUAUGUGUGUGUAUGUCUGUAUGUGUGUGUCUGUAUGUGUGUGUAUGUGUGUCUUAUGUAUGUGUCUUUGUAUGUAUGUGUGUGUCUUUGUAUGUAUGUGUGUAGUAUGUAUGUGUGUCUUGUGUCUGUCUGUGUGUAUGUGCCUUUGUAUGUCUCUUAUGUGUGUCUGUAUGCAUGUCUGUGUGUGUGUCUGUAUGUAUGUGUGCCUGUCUGUUUGUAUGUGUCUUGUGUGUGUGUCUGUAUGUGUGCCUGUCUGUGUGUCUGUAUGUGUGUGCCUGUCUGUCUGUAUGUGUAUGUAUGUGUGUGUGUGUGUGUAUGUAUGUGUGCCUGUAUGUUAUAGUGGGCUACAGUAUGUAAUAGUAAGUGGGAUACCUAGCUCAGCCUUCCUACUGGGCAUUGCUAUAAGGAAGGUUAAAAAAAAAAAAAAAAAAAAAGGGUGGGGGAAGGUGGGGAGGGGAAUUGAGGAGGGAGAGGAGGGGAGCUGAUGCACAGAUGAGAAAUCAUAUUAUGAGCAAACAGAGAAAUCGUCUGAAUAUCACCGAAAGAGGAGACUUUGUUGCUUACGAAAAUCGAACCAGAUAUCAAAUAUUUAGUCUUGCAGCAUCAACCUCAAGGAUCUCAUUAAUCACUAGUAAAGGUAAUUUCAAUUUACUUUAUUGUUUUCGCAUUAAACUUUAUAAAGUUAAAAACAUUAUAAACAUGCAUUAAGUAGAAAUAAAAAGAUAAAUGUACGUACAUUGAUUUUUUUAAAAACACCCUCCUUUCUAAAAAAUAUUCUGCACUUGCCCGAAAACUGGUGGGUGGUAAGGACAUUUUUUCAACCAAAAAGAUGCAUUAGUGGGCGGUAGGUAGAAAAAGGUUGACUACCACUGGGCUAGACAGACAUCAUUAAAUUCACAUUUCUUUAAUUUAUAUGCUUUGCAUACAUUUUAUACUGCCAUGUAGUGUCAAUGCACUAUUGAAUAAAAAAUUGAAAAUCACCUAUACCAUGUUAUAACCUUUUUUUUUCAAUCCAGUUCAUUCCUGGCAUAUCUAUGUCGCACACUGGUUUUGGGAGGACAAACAGAAAUAUUGUUUGUAUUUUUCUACCUUACACAUGUACAAUGAGAGAAACACAUUAUGAAGCUCUCAAUUAACCGUACAGCUGUAAAAAAGUUACAAAUAAAUUGACAGACAAAGAACAUUGCUUCAAUUGAAAUGUUCUGAGGGCAAGCCUUGCGUGUUAGGGGUUACAGUGUAAAGUGGUAAUUGGUGCUCCAAUUUUGUAACUCUGAGAUCAGUGAUACCAAUUAUUUUAACAUGAUAUCGUCUCAAAAAGUAAACUUUGGAAAUAUUAGAUCAUUAUAAGCCUCAGUGUAGCUGAGCCUUCUUUUCAGAAAACAUGUUGUAAAAUGCUUUAGGCACACCUACCAUGGAACCCUUACCAUCACAGUCUGCCUUACCCUGCAUUUUGCUUCUGACCUUCCACAUCUGAUCAAAAGCUUGUAUCACAUCUGCUUCGAAUUUCUUCAUGACUGAUUUUAUAGAUGCCAUUAAUCAUCCACUUGAGGUUUAUCCACUUCCCUCUCCCUAUUAUCUCUCUUUAUCUUUCCUACUCCUUUCAGUUACCUCUCGUUAUUACACGUUUUUUUUUUUUCUUCAUUUUUUUUUUCUUUCUUUUUUUCUUUCUGGUCUGUAUUACAAGUGCCACCUGAAAUCGUUAGCCGUUAAUAAGAUCAGCAACAAUAUAGCUUCUAUUACAGAACUGACGCCAAAAGAAAUGUCAUUAUAGCUGCCUUGGUAAAACAAUACAUACAUACUAUAUACUUCAUGCAUAUGUUUGUUGAUCCUUAUAUUAAAGGCGAGGUCACUUCAUCUUUCCACAAUAAGGACAAGUUUAAUUUAAUGGAUCACAGCUGAAAUUAGAACAUAUUAGGAAACUUUAGUGCACGUUAAUCUUUAGGACCACAUUGCUAUUCGUUGGUGGGUUAGAGGAACACAAGCAACAUUUUAUCAUUUUGUACUGAGUGACUCAUGGAAGCAAUUCUGGGGUUCUCCUUUCCAUCCCAUAGACACAGUGACUCAUAUGGGUAUAUGUGGAGGGGGCCUGUUCCUUUUUUCAUGGAUAGAUUGACUCAGGGGAGAUGUGAUUUAGUCACACUCCAUAGCAAAAGGAUGCUGGGACAGUUCAACACAUCACGUCUCAAGUUUAAAAUUAAUUUCACCAUCUGCUCGAAACUUUCAUUCUCUCAUCUCAUGCUGUCCACCACAAGAAAGAACAGUCAUGCACACCCACUGUUUUAUUUCAAGUGUACGUAGAGAUGUUCAAAUAUGUUCUGCAGUGUGUAUGCCUAAAAUCAUUGCUGGCUGCUCUUUGCAUUCCGCAUUUCUCUUCUCCUCUCAAGCCCUGUACUCCUCCAAAUAUAUAUAUGACUUGAAAUAUCCUGGCUGUUUCAAACUAUAUCUGUUCUUCCUUUUUCCUAAAGUAAAAGCCAUUUUCUCAUUAUUUUUCAGGAGUUUUAAAGCAGCUGAAAUCUUGGCUAAUCUCGUGAAGUCUACAGUAUCUGCUAGUUGAUUUACAGUAACCUGUAAAACAAAGUUCAUAUGUUCUCUCUCUUUGUCAUGAAUUUGACAUUUCAGUAAAGUGAUGUAAAUUCAAGCUGUGCAUUUGGGGCAAGCAUACAAUAAAUCCAGAUAUUUGCUAUGCUUGAUUUCUGGUGACAUUGAUUUAUUAAGCAGGAUAAUAUUUAAUGUUAAUUGGUCUCUAUGCGCACAUCUGCUGAGGGACCUCAUGCAGUUAAUUGCAAGCUUUUUAGAACAGACAAAUUGCCUAAAAUUUAUUUCAGUCUCUCUUUCAUGUUAUAAAGUCUGCCCUUGGUAAUUUUUUGACUUGGAGAUUAAUUUCGUCCCAAACUGCAAUUUGUCCAAAUUUGGACCAAUCGGGUGAUCAAAGGAGUUCCUGAACCCUGAGCCAAAAUGUACUAGAACCAUGAACCAAACAAGCCAUGCAAUGGCUAAACAUGUUGGUUAUGAUUCAUGAUUCUGGAUUCCACCUGUGAUAACAAGAAAAAGAGACAAUUGAUGGGACAAAAUUUGAAGUGAGCAAUAAAGGGAAAAAAAAGGAGAAUCAGGAAAAUAAAACCUAUUUUUAUAUAUUAUAUAUUUAAUAAAAACCAUUUUUUAAACUGCUCCUCCUCUUUUUACUUUUAUUGGCUACUUUUUCUCACUUCAUUAGUGAACCAAAUGGUUAAAAAAGGUUCGGUCAGUGUACUGCAAAAUAUAUACAUAAUAUUAUAAAAGUAUAUCUUUUGCAGUACACAGAUUGGCUCAUUUUCGUGCAAUUCUGGCAAGUCUGAUUACUUUUCCUGUUUCAGGUUUUCAUUAAUGAAAUUCUGCCAAGCCCAACCGACAUACGAAAAUGUUUUAUAUCUUCAGAAUAAAAAGAUUGGCCGAACCACAUUUUCUCACCGUGCAUAAAUCGAAGGUGAGGUGGGCAGUUCUGUACAUUUAUUUGGAAUCUUCCACAAUGUCAUAACAUAUUCAUAAAUGUAUGUUCUUUAACCAAACUUCUGGAAUAAAAGGGAAUCAUGACAUGUCACACAUGUCAUGUGUCCAUAAGGGGUUAAAUACUAUUGGGUUUUUUAUGUGUGUCCACAUACACAACUGAUUUUUUUUUUCUAUUCAAAAUUCCUAGACCCAGAAAGUACUCUUGCAUUAGUUUUCCUUCAUGUGCUCUAAAAAUUUGCACAAACUCCUCACUUGCAUUUUUACCUUUAGUUAGUGCCACAUUACCCACCAUGCAGUGCUGGCACAUCGCCAAUUAAAACUGUGCUCAGCAUCCACAGCUAAAGAGGUAAUACAAUCUACAAAAAAUUUAAAUUGUAAAAAGAAUGCUGCACUAGCAUUGUAAGUUCAUAGUUACAUAGUUACAUAGCUGAAAAGAGACUUGCGUCCAUCAAGUUCAGCCUUCCUCAGAAAUGUUGUUGCUGUUGAUCCAAAAGAAGGCAAAAAACCUGGUCUGAAGCACUUCCAAUUUUGCCACAAACUAGGAAAAAAUUCCUUCUUGACCCCAAAAUAGCAGUCAGAU